CUCUGUGUAUCUGGAACUGUUGGCUGUGGCAAUCUCCCUUUCUAGCCAAGGAAAACCAUCCUGGCAAAGCUGUCGCCAUUUAAUUAGUAUCAGAUUCUGACUAGUGCAAGUUCUUC
rnacentral:snoRNA from 1 species